GCGAGCGCAGGCGGUUUUGUAAGUCUGCUGUGAAAGCCCUCAGCUCAACAGAGGAAGUGCAGUGGAAACUACAAAACUUGAGUACAGAAGAGGAAAGUGGAACUCCAUGUGUAGCGGUGAAAUGCGUAGAUAUAUGGAAGAACACCAGUGGCGAAGGCGGCUUUCUGGUCUGUUACUGACGCUGAGGCUCGAAAGCAUGGGUAGCGAACAGGAUUAGAUACCCUGGUAGUCCAUGCCGUAAACGAUGAAUACUAGGUGUUGGAGGGUUUCCGCCCUUCAGUGCCGCAGCUAACGCAUUAAGUAUUCCGCCUGGGGAGUACGACCGCAAGGUUGAAACUCAAAGGAAUUGACGGGGGCCCGCACAAGUGGUGGAGCAUGUGGUUUAAUUCGAUGCUACGCGAAGAACCUUACCAGCUCUUGACAUCUUCUGCCAACCCAAGAGAUUGGGCGUUCCCUUCGGGGACAGAAUGACAGGUGGUGCAUGGUUGUCGUCAGCUCGUGUCGUGAGAUGUUGGGUUAAGUCCCGCAACGAGCGCAACCCUUAUUAUUAGUUGCCAGCAUUUAGUUGGGCACUCUAGUGAGACUGCCGGUGAUAAACCGGAGGAAGGUGGGGACGACGUCAAAUCAUCAU
rnacentral:rRNA from 2 species